GAAGCAAAGACCGCGAGGUAGAGCAAAUCUCAAAAAAACAAUCUCAGUUCAGACUGCAGGCUGCAACUCGCCUGCACGAAGUCGGAAUUGCUAGUAAUCGUAGGUCAGCAUACUACGGUGAAUACGUUCCCGGGCCUUGUACACACCGCCCGUCAAACCAUGAGAGUUGGCAACACCCGAAGUCGGUAGUCUAACCGCAAGGAGGACGCCGCCGAAGGUGGGGUUGAUGAUUGGGGUUAAGUCGUAACAAGGUAUC
rnacentral:rRNA from 1 species